UGAAGUCAAAGUAAACUUUGUCAUCUCCGCUACAUACAGUAUAUGGCGUUAUUUUUGUGCCACUAUUCUGAGCGCACGUAAAAAUUUGCAGGUGCAAGUGUUGCAUUUUGAGGAGAAAUUUAUUUUGAGCGAAGAAAAGCUGAAUUUGAGUGAACAAACUUCAUUGCUGCGUGCAGACAAUGUAUUUCAGUGUUUGCUAUUAUCCACACACACACACACACACACACACACACACACACACACACACACACACACAAUAGCAGCCCCUCUCGCUCAGUUUUUGCAUUUGCGCUCGCUCGCAAUGUGUUGCUCGCGCUCUCAACAUUUCUGCCCGUGCGCGCUCAACUCUUUCUCUGCACCGUUAUAUUUGUGCCACAAAAUCAGCCAAUCACAGAUGCAAAAAAAUCUGAUUGGCUGUUCUGGUCUCCAAUCAGCUCGAAAUAUCCCAGAAUGCUUUUCGUCCAAAACUCAAACGCGGCAGUGGCGGAGGAACACAGAGUGGCGGAGUUUGAAAUAUUACUCUUUCUGGGUCACAAAAUAAACUUUACAGAUAUUUUCAUGCGAGAAUGGUGCUGUGUAAACUUCAAAUAUCUGCUCGAUUCAUCAAGACAUCACAUAUUUACAAAAGUAAAUGUUUUCGGAGAUGCCUGUUACCCACCAGCUGACCGCAUAGCUGCGAGCUGUUGGGCAUACCGGGCAUUUGCCCGGUGGGCCGAUGGUGAUUUUUCAUUUUUAUGUUUGUUUGUUUGUUUUUGUAACGGUUUAAACUACGGUGGCUGGGAAGUGCAAAGCGCAACAAAUUAAAAAAUCACAACAAAUUAAAAAACCGCAACAAAUUAAAAAUCCGCAACAAAUUAAAAAUCCACAACAAAUUAAAAAUCCACAACAAAUUAAAAAACCGCAACAAAUUAAAAAUCCACAACAAAUUAAAAAUCCGCAACAAAUUAAAAAAACACAACAAAUUAAAAAUCCGCAACAAAUUAAAAAACCGCAACAAAUUAAAAAACCACAACAAAUUAAAAAUCCACAACAAAUUAAAAAUCCUUGACGGAAAGGGAUUGUCUGAAAUACCGGAAGUGACACAGGGGGCGUGGCCAGGAUUUUUGGUUGAGGCGCCAUGUUUCUGGGCCGAACAAAGCGCUAGCGAAAGAGGAGCGAAAGUACACGGAUAACACCAGCUAUGGUUCGUACUUGCUGUGCGGUCGGUUGUAAAGUUAGAGCGCACGACCGGCAGGGGAAUAAGGUUGAAAAUGGUUUAUCUUUUCAUUCUUUCCCCACCUGGAAGCAACACGAGGCAGCUCAUGUAUCGGAUGUUACCAAAAGAAGGCUUCUAGUCUGGAUAGCAGCUGUGAGACGAGCUGAUAUCCAGUUCUCUUCCAUCUCCAAAUAUCUGUUGGUGUGCUCCAGACAUUUUCAUUCCGGUACUGCACUCUCAAAGACUGAAUGAACCAGCAUUGCAGCCAUGGGUCAUUGUGAGCAUCACAGGGAAGGUUGAAGCCGCCCACUGCACCUGUAUGGCCCACCUGUCGUGGAGACCUGCAGCCAUGUCGCUGCUCUUCUUUUAAAAGUAGAAGCAACAUUGCGGAUCUGUGGCACAAGGGCUGUUACAGAUGAACCUGCAUACUGGGUUUUGUUGGGUAAUUUGACCAAGAUACAGCCAGAGGUUGGCCAUAAGAUAGACUUCUCCUCUUCAGCUGCCCAAAAACGGCUCUGGAUCAAAACAUAAACAGACCAUCUGUAUUGAAAGGUCAAAGGAGCCGUCCCCAAAAAAGAAAAAUCCCACCUGCUACUGUGGAGAAGUUGUCACUGCUAUUGGAUACUUUGCUGGAACACAGUAAAGCUGUGGGUUGUGGGAAUGACCCAUAAUGUUUUAUAUAGGGGUCUAGAUUUAUGCCUGAAGUGCACUGCCAUGUAAAUAAUUUGCAUUUACUGAAUAUGUACUGACUGAGUACCACUGUUCAAAAGUUCAAUAAAGAAACAAACUAA